rnacentral:rRNA from 1 species
UACGGGGGGGGCAAGCGUUGUUCGGAAUUACUGGGCGUAAAGGGCUCGUAGGCGGCCAACUAAGUCAGACGUGAAAUCCCCUCGGCUUAACCGGGGAACUGCGUCUGAUACUGGAUGGCUUGAGUUUGGGAGAGGGAUGCGGAAUUCCAGGUGUAGCGGUGAAAUGCGUAGAUAUCUGGAGGAACACCGGUGGCGAAGGCGGCAUCCUGGACCAAUACUGACACUGAGGAGCGAAAGCCAGGGGAGCAAACGGG